GUGAUCUCGAAAUCAGGUAAGACUACCCGCUGAACUUAAG
rnacentral:rRNA from 1 species